GAUCAGGCUCAGGAUGAACGCUAGCUACAGGCUUAACACAUGCAAGUCGAGGGGCAGCAUUCCAGUUUGCUUGCAAACUGGAGAUGGCGACCGGCGCACGGGUGAGUAACACGUAUCCAACCUGCCGAUAACUCGGGGAUAGCCUUUCGAAAGAAAGAUUAAUACCCGAUGGCAUAAUAGAACCGCAUGGUUUGAUUAUUAAAGAAUUUCGGUUAUCGAUGGGGAUGCGUUCCAUUAGGCAG
rnacentral:rRNA from 1 species